GACAGAGGUCCCAAGCGUUAGGCGGAAUCACUGGGCUUAAAGCGUGUGUAGGCGGACUUCUAAGUACCUUGUGAAAUCCCACGGCUCAACCGUGGAACUGCUUGGUAUACUGGUUGUCUUGGGCCAUCUAGGGGCUAGCGGAACAAACGGUGGAGCGGUGAAAUGCGUAGAUAUCGUUUGGAACGCCAAUGGUGAAAACAGGUAACUGGGAGUGUGCCGACGCUGAGACACGAAAGCUAGGGGAGCGAACGGG
rnacentral:rRNA from 1 species